AUGGCGUCGCUGGCCAGGGCUGCCCGUCUCCUGGUGGUCGCGUUGCUGGUCGUCUUCUCCGCUGCUAUCACGGGCUGCCACGGAGUCGACCCGGGUCAAUCCCAAGCACACCGCGUGGUAUCAUUCCCCGUCCCCACAUUCCGAUUCCAUGUGGCCGCGGACUAUUUCGAUGCCCACCGCCGCCACGCGGUGUCGGUGCACCUCCCCCUCACCCGGACAAUGGAGGGCAGCCUUGAUGCAUGCAAGCUAGCUAAUUCUUCCACGUACGGCCAAAGUGCGCCGGCAUUGGGCGUGCUGGCGUCCUCAGGGGCGAUUGCACCCUAUGCCCCGGCACCGCCCGCCCUCGUCCUCACCCCGGAGCACAUGACAGCUGCAAUCCUGGAAUUACGGCAGGCCGUGGCGGGCAUCAGGGCCUUCCUCGGACGGAGAGUGAUGACAUACAUGGGAGGAAGUAGCACACCUUUGAAUAAGCACGACAUCUCAUAUUCUUUUGGCAAGGAGAUAGCCAUAAAAAGAAAUACCGACCGGCUAAAUGGAGCGUGGUUUGCGAUCCCAAAGACCAAGGAGGGUUGGAUAUUCAUGAUCUUGAGGUUAAGAAUACUGCCCCUACUCGAUGGUUCAGAGUUUAGAUUUUUGGAGGACAUGUGGUUAGGAAAUGCCAUACUCCAGGAACAAUAUCCAGCUCUAUAUAAUAUUGUUCCUCAUAAGAGUGAUACUAUCACCACGGUUCUGUAA
rnacentral:rRNA from 1 species